GACGAACGCUGGCGGCGUGCCUAAUACAUGCAAGUAGGACGCACAGUCUAUACCGUAGCUUGCUACACCAUAGGCUGUGAGUUGCGAACGGGUGAGUAACGCGUAGGUAACCUGCCUAUUAGAGGGGGAUAACUAUUGGAAACGAUAGUUAAUACCGCAUAGCAGUAUGUAACACAUGUUAGAUGCUUGAAAGAUGCAAUUGCAUCGCUAGUAGAUGGACCUGCGUUGUAUUAGCUAGUAGGUAGGGUAAUGGCCUACCUAGGCGACGAUACAUAGCCGACCUGAGAGGGUGAUCGGCCACACUGGGACUGAGACACGGCCCAGACUCCUACGGGAGGCAGCAGUAGGGAAUCUUCGGCAAUGGGGGGAACCCUGACCGAGCAACGCCGCGUGAGUGAAGAAGGUUUUCGGAUCGUAAAGCUCUGUUGUUAAGGAAGAACGAGUGUGAGAAUGGAAAGUUCAUACUGUGACGGUACUUAACCAGAAAGGGACGGCUAACUACGUG
rnacentral:rRNA from 1 species